rnacentral:lncRNA from 1 species
GGGAUAUUCAUGUUCUUCAAAUCCAGGUGAUGUGGCAGAACCAAACUCUAUUUUUUGUCUCUUCAGAUCUGAAAAAUCAUUUAAAGCAAUGCUGACUUCUUUGCCUUGUAGGAGCUUCUCUAUACCAAUUUUGUCUCCUCUCCUACUGAGAAUAAGCAAACAUCCCCUAGUUCAUAGGAGGUAAAAGAGAAAACAACCUGCAGAAUGUUGAGGCCCAACUCAAUCGGUUUGCCUACUCUUUGGAAACGCAGCCUCUCAUCGUUGCCUUAAUUUUCAUUUUCCUCCUAAUAGAUAUCAAUUUUAUACAAUUAAGUUUCUCCCCAAAAUACACUAGUAACAUGUGACACAGAAAAUCCUUGAGUUGUCUAAUUCUCAAAUUUAAAAAAUCUGAGGGUCUGGACCAAAAGAAGAGGCGGAAUAUCAACUUGGAGUCGAGAUAACACACACACUGACAGUAACGACUAAAUCCAAAGACGGCUUCACUGAAGAGAAAGCAUUUUAAGAUUUAAAAAAAAAAUCCUGUAAGAAGAUCCCAAAAACGUCCUAAGUGUCAUUAGCAGUUAAUAAAGUUAUUCACGCAGAAGUGUAUACAACAGAGCACUGCACUUUUUAUAUUUUGUUUUCACUUUUUGGCGUGGCAUGGGACACGGUAUCAGCUUCAUUAAACAAAAUAUUUGUAAAAAACAUUAAAAAAAAAAAGUCUGUACCUUUCAUGCUACUUGAGGAGGAUGAAGCGGGAGUGGGUGCACGGAUGCGUCUUGCUUCCAGGGUUGAUGGAGAACUCACCCUGGUUGUGGCCGAUAAUCUCAGACAUGAUUCCCAUAAGGCUGAAGGUCCCUUACAGACGCCCACCAGGUUGUCGACCAAACUAAGCAGCGGGAACACGUCCCUCAGCUGCCUCCUCACCACGGGGCGCUUGCCCCUCAGCUGCCGCCACUUCUUGGCUUUGCGCAGGCGCCUUCGUAGGGAGCGCCGCGCCGGCCGCCAGGCGAGGUCCAGUCGCCGCCGCCUGAGGGCGGUACAGCUGCAUCCGGGGCUCUUGGGCUUGUCCAGUAACCUAUGGAGGUCCGCCCUGCCUCAGAGGCUGUGGUGA